rnacentral:lncRNA from 1 species
GAACAAUAAUGAUAAUUGUACAAGAAAUUCAAAAUAAAACUUGCUUGGCUUAGAUGCAUGAUAAUACGCUUCUUGAAGAUAGUUGGAGUCUCUCACACGAGCAAAUGAAAGAACAAGUGACAACUCUAUCUUCGGGAUUCAACUAAGCCACAAAACAAGUAGCAUUCAAGAAUGUUGCUCUUGUAUUCUUGAAUUGGAGAUUUCACUAUUUGAUCAAUGUCUCUCAAGUGUUUUCCAAGGGGAAAGUAGUUUUAAGUGCUUGUCUUUUCAAACCAAAGAAAACAAUAUUUAUAGGAUGAAAGUUUCAUGCAUGAGAAGUAUAUUAAUUAAGUAAUAGUUAAUAGGUUCAUGUAUGUUUUAAAACAAAAAAUGUCAUUCUUUCAAGAACCUAUAACGUAAAACUUAAUGAAUAAUGAAUUUGUCAAAUACAUUUCCUUUGUAACUCAAAACUUAUGAAUAAUGAAUUUUUCAAAUUCAUUUCCUUUGUAACUCAAAACUUUAAAUGAUGUAUUUGUUUCAAAACUAAUUGAAACAUAACUCUUAAAAAUCUUUAACUGACGUAUUUGUUUCAAAAUUUAUUGAAACAUAAAAUUAACAACAUGGUUGGUGUGAUUUUACGACUUUAAUAUCUCAUUUCAGCAUUCAGUUUGAAAAAUUAUAAAAUUGGUCCUCGGGGGUCAAUUUUGUGAAAAAACCUUUUUUCGAAAAUGUGAUGCCACCAUUAAGUCCAAAACAUCAAAUUUGAUAGGGUAACAUAUAGUUCAUUUGAGUUCUCAGGAUUUCAGAUGAAUCUUGAGGGAUCUAUGGAGACUUAGAAAUUUUCCAGGUCCCAGCUGGUGGAACUGCUAAAAUGGCUCUUGGACCGCUUUAGUGGUGGUCGCUAAAGUUGCCAACCGGUCUCUUUAGUGACCCGGCUCUCAGCUGGGGGUCACUAAACGGGGCCUUGUCCGCCAAAAUGGACUGGGCUGGCUCGCGGGUACCGCAUAAUCGACACUUGACCGCUUUAUGUCACGACCCAAACCAGGGCUUGGCCAUGACAAGCAUUCCAAGCCAACCAAGGACGGAGAUUACCCCCUUAGCCUUACCUCAAGAGCACAAUAAUAAUAAAUAAUUAACUGUUGAAGCCAAU